CCUACGUGUGGCAGCAGUGAGGAAUAUUGGUCAAUGGACGCGAGCCUGAACCAGCCAAGUCGCGUGAGGGAAGACGGUCCUAUGGAUUGUAAACCUCUUUUGUCGGGGAGCAAAAGACGCCACGCGUGGCGUUCCGAGAGUACCCGAAGAAAAAGCAUCGGCUAACUCCGGGCCAGCAGCCGCGGUAAUACGGAGGAUGCGAGCGUUAUCCGGAUGUAUUGGGUUAAAAGGGUGCGCAGGCGGAAGAUCAAGUCAGCGGUAAAAUUGAGAGGCUCAACCUCUUCGAGCCGUUGAAACUGGUUUUCUUGAGUGAGUGAGAAGUAUGCGGAAUGCGUGGUGUAGCGGUGAAAUGCAUAGAUAUCACGCAGAACUCCGAUUGCGAAGGCAGCAUACCGGCGCUCAACUGACGCUCAUGCACGAAAGUGUGGGUAUCGAACAGGAUUAGAUACCCCUGUAGUC
rnacentral:rRNA from 1 species